CAGCAGGCCACUGGAGAGGCGAGACUAGCAGUGUGUGGCCUGGGAUAGGAGGAGAUAAAAGACAGCCAUGGUUAGUUUUGGGAGUAAGAUUCACCUGGGGGAUGGGAAGUCAGGAAUCUGGCUCCUCUCUAAGGAGAAGUCUGAAGUACAAGAGGGCAUGUCCAGCUGGGGGCUCAAAGUGUUCUCCAGGUGUUCUCAGAGGUGCCCGAGAAGUCUUGGGGGAAGGAGGCUAAGAUCUGCCUUUCACAGCCCUUUUCAACCACAGCCACUCUGCAGGUAAUCUGUUUCAUGUUUUAGUAUCCACGUAUGAAUUUAUUUGAAAAAAGAGAGUCAUUGUAAAACACUGAACAACAGUCAUUGAAAAUUAUCAAUGUGGUCCAACACAUUAAAGUUUGAACUAUGACUGAACAAACUGAAUUUCCAUCAGGGAGCUUAAAUGCCUAGAGUAAGAACUCAUGGUUGGAUUAAGGCAAUCACUGUGCUUGGCUAGCUGCCUGUCUAUCUAUCCAUCUAUUUAUCCAUCCAUAUCUGUGAAAUGGCAUCAUUUCUUACAUUUUGAAGAUGAGGAAACCAAGAUGUAGAGAAGUUGUGUCUUGCCCAGAUUCACACAAUUAGUAGCUGGCAGUAGUAGAAGCUGGGAUUCCAGAAGAGCUAGUCUGACUCCAGGGCUCACACCUUUAUCCACUAGGAAAAUCUAAGAACAUUUUACCAGAAUGUUGUUUUGGA
rnacentral:lncRNA from 1 species